rnacentral:rRNA from 1 species
AUUGAACGCUGGCGGCAGGCUUAACACAUGCAAGUCGAGCGAGCGGCGGACGGGUGAGUAAUGUCUGGGAAACUGCCUGAUGGAGGGGGAUAACCACUGGAAACGGUAGCUAAUACCGCAUACCAUCAGAUGUGCCCAGAUGGGAGUAGCUAGUAGGUGGGGUAAUGGCUCACCUAGGCGACGCUCCCUAGCUGGUCUGAGAGGAUGACGUGCCACGCUGGAUCGGUGACGCGGUCCAGACUCCUACGGAAGGCAGGAGGGAGGAAGAUUGCACAGUUGGCGCAAGCCUGAUGCAUCCAGGCCGCGUGUGUGAAGAAGGCCUUCGGGUUGUAAAGCGCUUUCAGCGAGGAGGCGUUACUCGCAGAAGAAGCACCGGCUAACUCCGUGCCAGCAGCCGCGGUAAUAC